AUUGAACGCUGGCUGCAGGCCUAACACAUGCGAGUCGAGCGGAUGAAGGGAGCUUGCUCCUGGAUUCAGCGGCGGACGGGUGAGUAAUGCCUAGGAAUCUGCCUGGUAGUGGGGGAUAACGUCCGGAAACGGGCGCUAAUACCGCAUACGUCCUGAGGGAGAAAGUGGGGGAUCUUCGGACCUCACGCUAUCAGAUGAGCCUAGGUCGGAUUAGCUAGUUGGUGGGGUAAAGGCCUACCAAGGCGACGAUCCGUAACUGGUCUGAGAGGAUGAUCAGUCACACUGGAACUGAGACACGGUCCAGACUCCUACGGGAGGCAGCAGUGGGGAAUAUUGGACAAUGGGCGAAAGCCUGAUCCAGCCAUGCCGCGUGUGUGAAGAAGGUCUUCGGAUUGUAAAGCACUUUAAGUUGGGAGGAAGGGCAGUAAGUUAAUACCUUGCUGUUUUGACGUUACCAACAGAAUAAGCACCGGCUAACUUCGUG
rnacentral:rRNA from 1 species